rnacentral:rRNA from 1 species
UACGUAGGGUGCAAGCGUUAAUCGGAAUUACUGGGCGUAAAGCGUGCGCAGGCGGUUCUAUAAGACAGAUGUGAAAUCCCCGGGCUCAACCUGGGAACUGCAUUUGUGACUGUAGAGCUGGAGUGCGGCAGAGGGGGAUGGAAUUCCGCGUGUAGCAGUGAAAUGCGUAGAUAUCGUCUGGAACGCCGAAGGUGAAAACAGCUCGCUGGGGUUGUGCUGACGCUGAGACACGAAAGCCAGGGGAGCGAACGGG